rnacentral:rRNA from 1 species
GACGAACGCUGGCGGCGUGCUUAACACAUGCAAGUCGAACGGAAAGGCCCUGCUUUUGUGGGGUGCUCGAGUGGCGAACGGGUGAGUAACACGUGAGUAACCUGCCCUUGACUUUGGGAUAACUUCAGGAAACUGGGGCUAAUACCGGAUAGGAGCUCCUGCUGCAUGGUGGGGGUUGGAAAGUUUCGGCGGUUGGGGAUGGACUCGCGGCUUAUCAGCUUGUUGGUGGGGUAGUGGCUUACCAAGGCUUUGACGGAUAGCCGACCUGAGAGGGUGACCGGCCACAUUGGGACUGAGAUACGGCCCAGACUCCUACGGGAGGCAGCAGUGGGGAAUAUUGCACAAUGGGCGGAAGCCUGAUGCAGCAACGCCGCGUGCGGGAUGACGGCCUUCGGGUUGUAAACCGCUUUCGCCUGUGACGAAGCGUGAGUGACGGUAAUGGGUAAAGAAGCACCGGCUAACUACGUG